GAGUUUUUGAUUGUUGCACUGGGUGAAGAAUCUAGUGUUCAGCUGAGCCUUUUUGAGACAAAGUGAUACAACAGAGCAAUGGACUGAUAGCUAUAGAAGUGCCGAACCAGAAAAGGUCUCUGGGCUAGGGAAAGAGACUAUCUCAUCGAAGAAGCAGGACCAGAUAACAGCACACAGAGGGGUGCUAGGGUCCAGAGAAGAGGAAAGGAACCAUUCUUGUCCCUUGUUUCCCUCAUGCUGUUCAGUUUUUU
rnacentral:lncRNA from 1 species